CCUCCACCAUUUUGACUCCACAUUGACAUCACCUCAACAUUUCCUCAAUUUCUUCCACGUUUCCUCCACAUUUCCUCCAUUUCCUCCACCUUUUCUCCACGUUUCCUCCACCUUUCCUCCAUUUCCUCCACCUUUUCUCCACAUUUCCUCAAUUUCCUCCACCUUUCCUCAACAUUUCCUCCACCUUUACUCACAUUUUCUCAAUUUCCUCCACUUUUUCUCCACGUUUCCUCCAUUUUUUUCCACAUUUCCUCAAUUUUCUCCACCUUUCCUCCACAUUUCCUCAAUUUCCUCCACCUUUUCUCCACAUUUCCUCAAUUUUCUCCACCUUUUCUCCACAUUUCCUCAAUUUCCUCCACCUUUCCUCCACAUUUCCUCAAUUUCCUCCACCUUUCCUCCACAUUUCCUCAAUUUCCUCCACCUUUUCUCCACAUUUCUUCAGUUUCCUCCACCUUUCCUCCACAUUUUCUCACUUUCCUCCACUUUUCCUCCACAUUUUCUCCAUUUUUCUCCACAUCUCCUCAGUUUCUUCCACCUUUCCUCCUGAUUUUUCUCUAUUUCCUUCACUUUGCCUUCUCAUUUCCUCAAUUUUCUCCACAUUUCCUCAU
rnacentral:lncRNA from 1 species